GAUGAAGAACGCAGCGAAAUGCGAUAAGUAAUGUGAAUUGCAGAAUUCAGUGAAUCAUCGAAUCUUUGAACGCACAUUGCGCCCCUUGGUAUUCCGAGGGGCAUGCCUGUUCGAGCGUCAUAUUAACCACUCCCGCUUGCGGGGUCUUGGGCUUCGCCUCCGGGCGGGCCUUAAAAUCAGUGGCGGUGCCGUCGGGCUCUACGCGUAGUAAAUUUUCUCGCGAUAGGGUCCCGGUGGAUGCUUGCCAACAACCCCCAACUUCUUAAGGCUGACCUCGGAUCAGGUAGGGAUACCCGCUGAACUUAAGCAUAUCAAUAAGCGGAGGA
rnacentral:misc_RNA from 1 species